rnacentral:lncRNA from 1 species
AAUUUCUUGUAGAUUUGAAUAUGUGGAGCUGUGGGUAAUUAUAACAUUUAAUAUGCUGAUCAUAAUUGAUGUUUUUUUUUUUUGCUUUUUUUCCCAUUAAUAUGUUGAUUUAUUUCUUGUUCAUAGUGUUACACAGUUGUAGGAUGUGAGGUUUGAGUGACAUUCCUUGCAAGCAUGCUAUAUGUGCUACAAAUUUAAUAAAAAAAGGGAUGAUUUUAUUCUAUGAGUAUUACACAGUAGCAACAUUUAAGAAGAUUUAUGUAGCCACGAUCUUUGGAAUCAAUGGCAAACAAUUAUCGGGGGAUAGCAUUUUCAUACAACCUUUGCCUCCACUGAUGGAAAGAGUAGAGGCC